GACGAACGCUGGCGGCGUGCCUAAUACAUGCAAGUCGAACGCUGAAGGAGGAGCUUGCUUCUCUGGAUGAGUUGCGAACGGGUGAGUAACGCGUAGGUAACCUGCCUGGUAGCGGGGGAUAACUAUUGGAAACGAUAGCUAAUACCGCAUAAGAGUAGAUGUUGCAUGACAUUUGCUUAAAAGGUGCAAUUGCAUCACUACCAGAUGGACCUGCGUUGUAUUAGCUAGUUGGUGAGGUAACGGCUCACCAAGGCGACGAUACAUAGCCGACCUGAGAGGGGGAUCGGCCACACUGGGACUGAGACACGGCCCAGACUCCUACGGGAGGCAGCAGUAGGGAAUCUUCGGCAAUGGACGGAAGUCUGACCGAGCAACGCCGCGUGAGUGAAGAAGGUUGUCGGAUCGUAAAGCUCGGUUGUAAGAGAAGAACGAGUGUGAGAGUGGAAAGUUCACACUGUGACGGUAGCUUACCAGAAAGGGACGGCUAACUACGUG
rnacentral:rRNA from 1 species